rnacentral:rRNA from 1 species
AGUGAACGCUGGCGGCGUGCCUAAUACAUGCAAGUCGAACGAAGUGGCGCACGGGUGGGUAAUAUAUAGAUAAUCUGCCCUACACAGAGGAACAACAGUUGGAAACGGCUGCUACUACCUCAUAGUGUAGGAUGAGACUAUAUCGUAUCAGCUAGUUGGUAAGGUAAUGGAUUACCAAGGGUAUGACGCGUAACAGGUAUGAGAGGAUGAUCAGUCACCUUCUAACUGAGACACGGUCCAAACACCUACGAGAAGCAGCAGUAACGAAUAUUGCGCAAUGGGCGAAACCCUGACGCAGCAACGCCGCGUGGAGGAUGACACUUUUCGGAGCGUAAACUCCUUUUAUCAGGAAAGCGGUACCUGCUGAAUAAGCACCGGCUAACUCCGUGCCAGCAGCCGCGGUAAUUC